GGGGGGGGGGGAGAGGGAGUCGGACGUGGAGGCCCUUCUGCAGCCCCGGAGGAAAAGAGGCGCUUUGCAACAGAUGGUUCAAGGUCAGUAUCUACCAGGUAGCUGCUCUGAGAAUAAAAAUGGCAUGAUGAGGUGGAUAAUGCAUGUUUUCCUCCCAAACCCUUGAUCAUAUUGGUUGCCC